GACGAACGCUGGCGGCGUGCUUAACACAUGCAAGUCGAACGGAAAGGCCCUGCUUUUGUGGGGUGCUCGAGUGGCGAACGGGUGAGUAACACGUGAGUAACCUGCCCUUGACUUUGGGAUAACUUCAGGAAACUGGGGCUAAUACCGGACAGGAGCUCCUGCUGCAUGGUGGGGGUUGGAAAGUUUCGGCGGUUGGGGAUGGACUCGCGGCUUAUCAGCUUGUUGGUGGGGUAGUGGCUUACCAAGGCUUUGACGGGUAGCCGGCCUGAGAGGGUGACCGGCCACAUGGGGACGGGGAUACGGCCCAGACUCCUACGGGAGGCAGCAGGGGGGAAUAUUGCACAAGGGGCGGAAGCCUGAGGCAGCAACGCCGCGUGCGGGAGGACGGCCUUCGGGUGGUAAACCGCUUUCGCUGUGACGAAGCGUGAGUGACGGUAAUGGGUAAAGAAGCACCGGCUAACUACGUG
rnacentral:rRNA from 1 species